GGCUGCGUCCUGGAAUGGUCCAACCAUGGACCCUCUUGUCAUCCAGCCGAGGUCACCCUGUCACAGAAACAAACAGACAAAAGGACUAAAUCCAACCAGCUUUAAAGGAAGUCCCUUGGACCCAGCACAUUCUCACAGCAGAGCAACUAGCUCCAUCUAGUGGAAAACAGUGGGUACCGGCAGCAGUUUUUGAGGUUUGAAUGGAAGGGCUAACUGAUCACAAGGACAAUAAAAGUAAACGGUAUAGGUGAUGACUUCUAGCCACUGACGGGCAGGAUAGCUAUUAAUUAUAGAAUAUCAACUGGGAAUUAAUGAUUGAGAACUGUUCCAACAAAGGGGACUUGAUCAACAAUAGACUGGGCCUCUGGAAACUAGGCCAUCAAACCCCCAAACUGAUAGUCAGACUAAUUGAUUUAGGGAAGCCAGAUACUGUCAGCUAAUGAUACAAAGGGAUAUGCUCAGUAUGAGUGCAUUUACAGGUUAAACUAAGAUCCAAGAAAACAGUCUUUUCAUAAACUCCCAAUUUUACAAACUUA